rnacentral:rRNA from 1 species
GAUGAACGCUGGCGGCGUGCCUAAUACAUGCAAGUCGAGCGAACGGACGAGAAGCUUGCUUCUCUGACGUUAGCGGCGGACGGGUGAGUAACACGUGGAUAACCUACCUAUAAGACUGGGAUAACUUCGGGAAACCGGAGCUAAUACCGGAUAAUAUUUUGAACCGCAUGGUUCAAAAGUGAAAGACGGUCUUGCUGUCACUUAUAGAUGGAUCCGCGCUGCAUUAGCUAGUUGGUAAGGUAACGGCUUACCAAGGCAACGAUGCGUAGCCGACCUGAGAGGGUGAUCGGCCACACUGGAACUGAGACACGGUCCAGACUCCUACGGGAGGCAGCAGUAGGGAAUCUUCCGCAAUGGGCGAAAGCCUGACGGAGCAACGCCGCGUGAGUGAUGAAGGUCUUCGGAUCGUAAAACUCUGUUAUUAGGGAAGAACAUAUGUGUAAGUAACUGUGCACAUCUUGACGGUACCUAAUCAGAAAGCCACGGCUAACUACGUG